AUAGAAGCAAACAAUGAUUACAGGAGAUAUAUUUUUAAAGUGGCACAAACUGGAGAGAGACUGCUGUUCUGGGCACUAUGUUUAUCUGGGAAAAGUUUGACAUAUCAAUAAACAUUGGAAAAUUA